AGCCCACAAGCCCAGGGCAGUGAGGAGCUUAGCACCUGGGCCAGCAGCUGCUGUGCUCGAUUUCUCACCGGGCCUUAGCUGCCUCUCCACGAGCAGGGUUUGGGACGGGCAGCUAGCCAUGCCUGGCCGCCCGCCGCCCGCCGCCCGCCGCCCGCCGCCCGCCGCCCGCCGCCCGCCGCCCGCCGCCCGCCGCCCGCCGCCCGCCAUGCCUGAGCUCCCGCCCCCUGCCCGCCCGCCAUGCCUGAGCCCCCACCCCCUCCCCGCCCGCCAUGCCUGAGCCCCCACCCCCUCCCCGCCACCCCCAGCCCACUGCUGUGGACUCCUGCGCCGCCCGAGCCUCCUCGACGAGCACCGCCCCCUGCUCCAGGGCGCCCAGUCCCAUAGACCGCCCGAAGGCUGAGGACUGCUGGCGCAUGGCGCGGGACUGGCAGGCAGCUCCACCUGCGGCCCCUGUGCGGGAUCCACUGCGUGAAGCCAGCUGGGCUCCUGAGUAUGGUGGGGACUUGAAGUAUCUUUAUGUCUAGCUUCAUUCCUGAAGCCAGUGAGACCACGAACCCAGCAGGAGGAACGAACAACUCCAGACGCGCUGCCUUAAGAGCUGUUAACACUCACCGCAAGGUCUGCAGCUUCACUCCUGAAGCCAGAGAGACCACGAACCCAGCAGGAGGAAUGAACAACUCCAGAUGCGCCGCCUUAAGAGCUGUAACGCUCACCGCGAAGGUCUGCAGCCUCACUCCUGAGCCAGCGAGACCACGAACCCACCAGAAGGAAGAAACUCCGAACACAUCCGAACCUCGGAAGGAAGAAACUCCAAACACAUCCAAACAUCAGAAGGAACAAACUCUGCACACACCGCCUUUAAGAACUGUAACACUCACCACCAGGGUUCGCGGCUUCAUUCUUGAAGUCAGUGAGACCAAGAAGCCACCAAUUCCGGACACAAUAUGAAGGGGGAAUCUGGAAUAUUUCAAGAUAAGGUCCAAUUCUUCCAUUGUCUCGUAAUCCAAUGCAGAGAUGUGAAAUGUAAGAUCAUCUGAAGGAGAGCUUUGGUUCAAGUCAAAUGCAUGCCUCAACCUAGCAGAGCCAAAGAGAUACUUGUAUGAUGACAUGACUUUUGCCUUCUGCCAUGAUUGUGAGACCUCCCCAGCCACAUGAAACUAAUAUAAGACUUCACAACCUGCUGAAAAUGAGCUUUCCUAAUAACUCGGGACCUACCUGUCUAGGAAUAAACCAUCCUAAACAUGAAAGAUCAGAGAAAAUAGAAACACAAUAUAAUUUGGCUCCGCACCUGAGAUGCUCUCCAGCCAUGAUGGUAGAGUUCCUCAUUCUAGGGAUUAUGGACCCAGGCCAAGCCUGCUCCUUGAUA